AAAGUCGUAACAAGGUUUCCGUAGGUGAACCUGCGGAAGGAUCAUUAUUGAAUAAACUGGGUGGGUUGUUGCUGUCCCUCUCGGGGGAACUGUGCACGCCUUACCUUUUUUGUUUUUCCACCUGUGAACACACUGUAGGUCUGGAGGGAAGGGAAGCAAUUCCUUGACGUUCAGGUCCUAUGCUUUAUACAUAUACACUAUUGAAAGUAACAGAACGAUUCAAUGGGCUCUAAGCCUAUAAACUAUAUACAACUUUCAGCAACGGAUCUCUUGGCUCUC
rnacentral:misc_RNA from 1 species